rnacentral:misc_RNA from 1 species
UAAGGGUGCUUUUAUGAUUGGAGUAGGCUGCUUAUGCUGGUCUAGUUUCAUCAUCCUUCAGGCAAUAACUCUAAAGACAUACCCUGCAGAGCUCUCCCUAACAGUUUUGAUAUGCUUGGUGGGCACCAUUGAAGGCUCUAUAUUUGCUCUUAUAAUUGAAAGGGGAAAUCCCUCUGCUUGGUCUAUACACUUUGAUUCUAGGUUAUUAGCUGCUGUUUACGGUGUAUUUUGGAUGCAGGGGGUAAUUUGCUCAGGAGUUGCAUAUUAUGUACAAGGACUGGCAAUGAAGAGCAAAGGUCCUGUUUUUGUGACUGCCUUCAAUCCUUUAAGCAUGGUUAUUGUUACGAUUUUGGGCUCCUUUGUCUUAUCAGAGAUAGUCUACUUAGGAAGGGUAAUCGGAGCAUCAGCCAUCGUCAUUGGGCUAUACCUAGUUUUGUGGGGUAAGAGCAAGGAUCAAUCUCCAUUAACUUCAACAAAUGAUAAGGUAGCUGCAACUGCUUCAGAAAUGGACACCAUAAAUGAGAGUCUUGAGACUUCAAAUCAAGAAUUCGUUGCCAUUGAUGUCAUCAAAGUGAAACCUACUGGUGAAUCUGCUUGAAGGAAUUUUUAUUCAGUUACAAAAGUAAUUAGCAAUAAUUGCAUGGAAUUAAUUAACCAACUUUCAUUCAGCUGGCCUUGUUUAUUAAUUUCUAAACGUGUUUUUGUCCUUUUUUUUUAAAAAAAAA